GCCGGCAUAGCUCAGCGGUAGAGCAAUCGCUUCGUAAGCGAUGGGUCGGGGGUUCAAAUCCCUCUGCCGGCACCA
rnacentral:tRNA from 1 species